GGAAUCAACGCUGGCGGCGUGCCUAACACAUGCAAGUCGCACGAGAAAGGGGGCUUCGGCUCUGAGUAAAGUGGCGCACGGGUGAGUAACACGUGAAUAAUCUACCUCCGAGUGGGGGAAUAACUGAGAGAAAUCUUAGCUAAUACCGCAUAACACUUACGAGUCAAAGCAGCAAUGCGCUUGGAGAGGAGUUCGCGGCCGAUUAGUUAGUUGGCGGGGUAAUGGCCCACCAAGACGAUGAUCGGUA
rnacentral:rRNA from 1 species